rfam:Xenorhabdus khoisanae strain MCB contig107, whole genome shotgun sequence.
GACUGCCAUCAAGGAUUCAUUCUGUGAACCCUGACCGACAGCCAGAUAGGAAUUCAUGCCCAGUUCUUUCAUCUGCUCUUCGCCAAUGACUUUGGUUGUCAGAUUGGCGGCAUUAUCAGCGAGCUGACGAGCCUGUGAUGCCAGGUAGGCAGCAUUACAGAUAUUCGGUGGCAUGUUUGCCAGAUCUUUCGU